rnacentral:lncRNA from 1 species
UCAAUGCCAAUUAUCUAUGUACUGAUGUACAUACCCCAUCGGGAAUUAAAUGCAAGACACAUAGAGUAGGAGACCGUACUUUCAACUUGCAAAUUUAAUUAACACUAAAGUUGAAUGAAGAAUCUAGAAAUAGAAAGCCUAAGUAUUCUUUUACUUCUUACUCUAACAUUUGUUUUCUCUUUUCUCUGUACUUGGCUUCCAAAGUCAUCAUCA